AACUUGUAUUUCUUAUUAUUUAAAAAAAAAUAUUAAAAAUAAUUUUAAAAGGACGCAGCUGUGCGGUUGAGAAACGACCGGAAACGACUUAUAUGUCGCAAGGCCAUCACGUGACCACAAUAUUUACCAGAAGACCGUUAUUUGCUCGAUUACCCUCAACUUUUUUGUCGCAAAUAACAUCAUUAAUAACCUGUAAAUAAUCAAAUUUGUACACAUUACGUUCCUCUUCACUUUGUAAUAGUAUGUUUUUGGUUUAAUAGUCGGCUUUUAGUUAGUUUUUCUGUCAGUUUGAUCGUCAAAAUCUUGAAAGUUAUCUACAGCCACACAUCCACUGUAUACCAAGUUAUGAUGAUCAAUUAUGAGAAUGCAAAAGGAUUGAUAGAUCAGUAAACAAACAACAAAAAGAUGGGUGCUCAUGGUGGCCUCCGAAUAAAUACAUGGACAGGCUGCUAAAGAGGGUCAGGAUGAUGGAGAUGCAAGAGUCAAAGACAGCACAGACCAAACACCAGGCCAGAAUUCUGCAUGAGUCAGUUUCCAGCCUUUUUCACAAAGUUGCCGACAACUGGAAGAAUGUCCCAAAUUGCUGAAAAAAGAAAUUCAAUUGAGUAAUUUUCACUCUAGAGACCCUGGGGUGACCACCAAGGACGAAUGCAAACUCCAGUGAGUGUCUCUAAGGUAGAUCCUAAUGCAGA